rnacentral:rRNA from 1 species
GCUCAGGACGAACGCUGGCGGCGUGCUUAACACAUGCAAGUCGAACGAAGAGCGAUGGAAGCUUGCUUCUAUCAAUCUUAGUGGCGAACGGGUGAGUAACGCGUAAUCAACCUGCCCUUCAGAGGGGGACAACAGUUGGAAACGACUGCUGAUACCGCAUACGAUCUAAUCUCGGCAUCGAGGAUAGAUGAAAGGUGGCCUCUACAUGUAAGCUAUCACUGAAGGAGGGGAUUGCGUCUGAUUAGCUAGUUGGAGGGGUAACGGCCCACCAAGGCGAUGAUCAGUAGCCGGUCUGAGAGGAUGAACGGCCACAUUGGGACUGAGACACGGCCCAGACUCCUACGGGAGGCAGCAGUA